AAAGCAUUACUGGGAUGAUGCCUUGAUUUGGACAUUUUCACAGCCUCCAAACUGGGAGAACAUGAACACGGUCCCCCACUACCACAAAUUAUGCAGUCGAGUUUCCUACAUUUGGGGAAAUCACAGGGGUCAGCACAUCCGGAGUGCAAAGGAUAAGCCUCACCCUGGGAAAACCACCUUCGUGAUCAUGGUGUCUCCCUUCCAGGGAAUUCAUGUAAUGAAAACUAUCCUAAAGAAGGAAAAGACUGCCAUAUUAAUUGCUUCUUCUGCAAAACUGGAAAUAAACUAAACACCC